rnacentral:rRNA from 1 species
CCUACGGGAGGCAGCAGUGGGGAAUAUUGCGCAAUGAGCGAAAGCCUGACGCAGCGACGCCGCGUGAGGGAUGAAGGUCUUCGGAUCGUAAACCUCUGUCAGCAGGGAAGAACGGUCACUGUGCUAAUCAGCAGUGAAUUGACGGUACCUGCAAAGGAAGCACCGGCUAACUCCGUGCCAGCAGCCGCGGUAAUACGGAGGGUGCGAGCGUUAAUCGGAAUUACUGGGCGUAAAGCGCUCGUAGGCGGUAUGUCAAGUCAAGGGUGAAAUCCCCGGGCUCAACGGGGGAACUGCCUUUGAAACUGGCAAACUGGAGUGUGUGAGAGGAUAGUGGAAUUCCAGGUGUAGGAGUGAAAUGCGUAGAUAUCUGGAGGAACAUCAGUGGCGAAGGCGACUAUCUGGCACAUAACUGACGCUGAGGAGCGAAAGCGUGGGUAGCAAACAGGAUUAGAUACCCUUGUAGUC